rnacentral:rRNA from 1 species
CAGAGACCUCAAGCGUUAUCCGGAAUCAUUGGGCGUAAAGCGUACCGAUAGGUGGUUUACAAAGUCAGAAGUGAAAUCUCUCAGCUUAACUGGGAGACUGUCUUUUGAAACUUGUAAACUUGAGGGGCAAAGAGGAAGCCGGAACAAGCGGUGUAGUAGUGAAAUGCGUUGAUAUCGCUUGGAACACCAAUAGCGUAGGCAGGCUUCUGGGUGCCACCUGACACUGCUAGGACGAAAGCGUGGGGAGCGAAUGGGAUUAGAUACCCCAGUAGUCCACGCUGUAAACGAUGAUGAUUAGGUGCUAGGGAGUAUCGACCCUCCUUAGUACCAUAGCUAACGCGUUAAAUCAUCCGCCUGGGGAGUACGGCCGCAAGGCUA